GCUGCGCAGCUACACAUGCAGUCGAGCGGUAGCACAGGGGAGCUUGCUCCUGGGUGACGAGCGGCGGACGGGUGAGUAAUGUCUGGGGAUCUGCCUGAUGGAGGGGGAUAACUACUGGAAACGGUAGCUAAUACCGCAUAACGUCGCAAGACCAAAGAGGGGGACCUUCGGGCCUCUUGCCAUCAGAUGAACCCAGAUGGGAUUAGCUAGUAGGUGGGGUAAUGGCUCACCUAGGCGACGAUCCCUAGCUGGUCUGAGAGGAUGACCAGCCACACUGGAACUGAGACACGGUCCAGACUCCUACGGGAGGCAGCAGUGGGGAAUAUUGCACAAUGGGCGCAAGCCUGAUGCAGCCAUGCCGCGUGUAUGAAGAAGGCCUUCGGGUUGUAAAGUACUUUCAGCGAGGAGGAAGGCAUUAAGGUUAAUAACCUUGGUGAUUGACGUUACUCGCAGAAGAAGCACCGGCUAACUCCGUGCCAGCAGCCGCGGUAAUACGGAGGGUGCAAGCGUUAAUCGGAAUUACUGGGCGUAAAGCGCACGCAGGCGGUUUGUUAAGUCGGAUGUGAAAUCCCCGGGCUCAACCUGGGAACUGCAUUCGAAACUGGCAAGCUUGAGUCUUGUAGAGGGGGGUAGAAUUCCAGGUGUAGCGGUGAAAUGCGUAGAGAUCUGGAGGAAUACCGGUGGCGAAGGCGGCCCCCUGGACAAAGACUGACGCUCAGGUGCGAAAGCGUGGGGAGCAAACAGGAUUAGAUACCCUGGUAGUCCACGCCGUAAACGAUGUCGACUUGGAGGUUGUGCCCUUGAGGCGUGGCUUCCGGAGCUAACGCGUUAAGUCGACCGCCUGGGGAGUACGGCCGCAAGGUUAAAACUCAAAUGAAUUGACGGGGGCCCGCACAAGCGGUGGAGCAUGUGGUUUAAUUCGAUGCAACGCGAAGAACCUUACCUACUCUUGACAUCCAGAGAACUUUCCAGAGAUGGAUUGGUGCCUUCGGGAACUCUGAGACAGGUGCUGCAUGGCUGUCGUCAGCUCGUGUUGUGAAAUGUUGGGU
rnacentral:rRNA from 1 species